rnacentral:rRNA from 1 species
GACAGCAGUCGCCGCGGUAAUACGGAGGGGGCUAGCGUUGUUCGGAAUUACUGGGCGUAAAGCGCACGUAGGCGGCUUGGUAAGUUAGAGGUGAAAGCCCGGAGCUCAACUCCGGAAUUGCCUUUAAGACUGCCGAGCUAGCAGGUGAGAGAGGUAAGUGGAAUUCCGAGUGUAGAGGUGAAAUUCGUAGAUAUUCGGAAGAACACCAGUGGCGAAGGCGGCUUACUGGCUCAUACUGGACGCUGAGGUGCGAAAGCGUGGGGAGCAAACAGGAUUAGAUACCCCGGUAGUCCCUGUCUCUUAUAC